rnacentral:rRNA from 1 species
UACGAAGGGGGGCGAGCGUUGUUCGGAUUUACUGGGCGUAAAGGGCGCGUAGGCGGCGGGUCAAGUCGAGUGUGAAAGCCCCGGGCUCAACCUGGGAAUUGCGCUCGAGACUGGUCUGCUUGAGUUCGGGAGAGGAGAGUGGAAUUCCCAGUGUAGAGGUGAAAUUCGUAGAUAUGGGGGAGGAACACCGGUGGCGAAGGCGGCCAUCUGGACGGAUACUGACGCUGAGACGCGAAAGCGUGGGGAGCAAACAGG